AGUGAACACUGGCGGUAGGCCUAACACAUGCAAGUCGAACGGCAGCACAGUAAGAGCUUGCUCUUACGGGUGGUGAGUGGCGGACGGGUGAGGAAUACAUCGGAAUCUACUUUUUCGUGGGGGAUAACGUAGGGAAACUUACGCUAAUACCGCAUACGACCUACGGGUGAAAGCAGGGGAUCUUCGGACCUUGCGCGAUUGAAUGAGCCGAUGUCGGAUUAGCUAGUUGGCGGGGUAAAGGCCCACCAAGGCGACGAUCCGUAGCUGGUCUGAGAGGAUGAUCAGCCACACUGGAACUGAGACACGGUCCAGACUCCUACGGGAGGCAGCAGUGGGGAAUAUUGGACAAAGGGCGCAAGCCUGAUCCAGCCAUACCGCGUGGGUGAAGAAGGCCUUCGGGUUGUAAAGCCCUUUUGUUGGGAAAGAAAAGCAGCAGGUUAAUACCCCGCUGUUCUGACGGUACCCAAAGAAUAAGCACCGGCUAACUUCGUG
rnacentral:rRNA from 1 species